rnacentral:rRNA from 1 species
UACGUAGGUGGCAAGCGUUGUCCGGAUUUAUUGGGUUUAAAGGGUGCGUAGGCGGCCCUGUAAGUCAGUGGUGAAAUACUCUAGCUUAACUAGAGGGGUGCCAUUGAUACUGCAGGGCUUGAGUACAGACGAGGUAGGCGGAAUUGACGGUGUAGCGGCGAAAUGCAUAGAUAUCGUCAAGAACUCCGAUAGUGAAGACAGCUUACUAGGCUGUAACUGACGCUGAGGCACGAAAGUGUGGGGAUCAAACAGG